UAACCUGCCCAUCAGAGGGGGAUAACAUCCGGAAACGGAUGCUAAAACCGCAUAGGUCUUCGAGCCGCAUGGCUUGAAGAGGAAAAGAGGCGCAAGCUUCUGCUGAUGGAUGGACCCGCGGUGCAUUAGCUAGUUGGUGAGGUAACGGCUCACCAAGGCCGUGAUGCAUAGCCGACCUGAGAGGGUGAUCGGCCACAUUGGGACUGAGACACGGCCCAA
rnacentral:rRNA from 1 species